CUAGUAACGGCGAGUGAAGCGGGAAGAGCUCAAAUUUGAAAGCUGUUGCCUUUGGUAACCGCAUUGUAAUCUCGAGAUCUGUUUKCCGCGCUGGACCAUGUACAAGUCCCUUGGAAUAGGGCGUCAUAGAGGGUGAGAAUCCCGUACUUGACAUGGCCUCCCAGUGCUUUGUGAUACAGGCUCAACGAGUCGAGUUGUUUGGGAAUGCAGCUCAAAAUGGGUGGUAAAUUCCAUCUAAAGCUAAAUAUUGGGGAGAGACCGAUAGCGAACAAGUACCGUGAGGGAAAGAUGAAAAGCACUUUGGAAAGAGAGUUAAACAGUACGUGAAAUUGUCAAAAGGGAACCGUUUAAAGUUAGUCAUGCUUGCCUGGACUCAGCCUUGCUUUUGCUUGGUGCAUUUCCAGGUUAGCAGGUCAGCAUCGGUUUUGACUGCUGGAUAAGGGUGAGAGGAAUGUGGCACCCUCGGGUGUGUUAUAGCCUCUUACUGGAUGCAGCAGUUGGGACCGAGGAACGCAGCGCGCCUUUAUGGCGGACCUUUGGGUACCUUCGCGCUUAGGAUGGUGGCAUAAUAG
rnacentral:rRNA from 1 species